rnacentral:rRNA from 1 species
CCCUUAGAUGUUCUGGGCCGCACGCGUGCUACACUGAGCCCUUCAUCGAGUUUACAACCUUGGCCGGUAGGUCUGGGUAAUCUUCUCAAAGGGGCUCGUGCUGGGGAUAGAUUAUUGUAAUUUUUAAUCUUCAACGAGGAAUUCCUAGUAAACGCAAGUCAACAGCUUGCAUUGAUUACGUCCCUGCCCUUUGUACACACCGCCCGUCGCUACUACCGAUUGAAUGGCUUAGUGAGCCCGAGGGACUGUUGCACCUAGAGGGUUUUCUCUCCAGGAGCAGCCGGGAACUCGGUCAAACUUGAUCAUUUAGAGGAAGUAAAAGUCGUAACA